rfam:Desulfacinum infernum DSM 9756 genome assembly, contig: EJ47DRAFT_scaffold00018.18
CAACUGGAGAGUUUGAUCCUGGCUCAGAAUGAACGCUGGCGGCGUGCCUAACACAUGCAAGUCGCACGAGAAAGGCUGGGUUUCGGCUUGGCCGAGUAAAGUGGCGCACGGGUGAGUAACGCGUGGGUGACCUACCCUCGAAUCUGGGAUAACCUCGCGAAAGCGGGGCUAAUACCGGAUACGUCCCUUCGGGGGGAAAGCCGGCCUCUCGAAGAAGCUGGUGUUCGAGGAUGGGCCCGCGUCCUAUCAGCUUGUUGGUAGGGUAACGGCCUACCAAGGCGACGACGGGUAGCUGGUCUGAGAGGAUGAUCAGCCACACUGGCACUGGAACACGGGCCAGACUCCUACGGGAGGCAGCAGUGAGGAAUUUUGCGCAAUGGGAGCAAUCCUGACGCAGCAACGCCGCGUGGGUGAAGAAGGCCUUCGGGUCGUAAAGCCCUGUCAGGAGGGAAGAACCUCGUCUGGGCGAACAGCCUGGUCGACUGACGGUACCUCCAGAGGAAGCACCGGCUAACUCCGUGCCAGCAGCCGCGGUAAUACGGAGGGUGCGAGCGUUAUUCGGAAUUACUGGGCGUAAAGCGCGUGUAGGCGGCAGGGCAAGUCUGGUGUGAAAGCCCGGGGCUCAACCCCGGAAGUGCAUUGGAAACUGCUCUGCUUGAGUACCGGAGAGGAAGGGGGAAUUCCCGGUGUAGCGGUGAAAUGCGUAGAUAUCGGG